GCAAAAUCCUGGGGGAGGAGGUCCUGGAGGAAUGCCUGGCCACUGCGGUUUAGGUGUUCUGAAGUUCUUGUGUGCUGGAGAUGUGGCUGGGGUUUCUCUCACAGCAGAGGAAACAACCACCACAGAGCUGCUCAAUUUGUCUGGUACGUGGACCCAUGGCUCCUGAGAGGUGGGAAGGGGCUGCCUGCAUCCGUGGGCCCUGAAUCACGACAUAGAGGAAGAUGCCUCUGCUUCUCGAUGUUGGAGGUGGGAAGAAAGCAAGGGCAGGACAAUGCCCUCCAGGAGAUGCCAAUGUGGAUGAAUUUAGCCUGCAGUACAGACGAGGACACUCAAACUCUCCAGAGAUGAAGUGUCACCUCAAGGCCACACAGAUAAUCAACAGAGAAGCAGGCCCUACACUCAGCUGUACUGUGAGCUCCACAGCAGCAGGGAUACUAUUGUCCUGGUUCACCCCUGGGUCCCAAAUCCCAGGACAGUGGGGGCACCAAGGAGAUGCCCCCAUAAACUGUGUGGACUGAAUAAGUGGCCUCAGUCUGUCCAAGAUCAAAAUCUGUCCUGCCACUGUCAUUCCCCCAUUGCUUGCCUGAAUCACCCUAUGAAUUAGCCAGGGUCGAGUCAGAAGACAGAAACCCCACCAGUAACCGGAACAGGGAAAAUUUAGUGUAAAGAAUGAUUAACUUGCAAAAGAUGGUUAACGACCAACAGGAGUCAAGGAGGACCCUCUGGAAUACAGGAAUAGCAAAUGCACAAAACAGCUACUACCUCUAUGCUGAGGGAGAGAGAACAAGGAAAGAAAGAACUAAGAACUCAGAGGAGGCCCCCAUCACCACCACCAAGGCUGAGGUUUGUGUCCCAUUGGAGAGGUUGUUGCUCCACAGGAACAUGUAGCAUGCCAGUGGCUUCAGAACGUGAUGGAAGGUGCAGUUCAGAGGUGGUCAGUAGGACCAGCCAGCCAGUUGGAUGAGACACUUACUAGAGGGUGUAGGACACCAGAGGUGGUUUAUAGGAAGUGGUCCACUGGGGUGGCAGAAAUAUUGGGUGGACACCACUGAUCAUCUCACAUACUGCUGACAGCCUUAUAGAAGGUGGAGAGAUAACAACAUAACCAGGAAGAGGAGCCCCUUCCUUUGCUACAGCAUAGCAUUCCCCCUGCCCCAAGUGCCAUAUGUUGAGAAAGAAUAAUAUUGUGCUGAAGGAGAAAUGCUUACAGGGUCCAGCUCCAGUAUCAAUAUACAAAGCAAAAAGGGAGAAUUUGGAGCUGAGAGACAAUAUUUUGAUCCCUGGCACAGCCCAUCCCUUUGGCUACCUGACUUCCAAAUGCGCCCUCUACAUACUUCACCUUCCACACAAACACCUCAAGGCCACACAGAUAACAACUCAUGUUUCCAAUUAAGACAAUGCAGCUAUCUUUUGUACAAGUGGAAAAAUUCUCACUCUUUCACCAAAAUGAAGAGACAGAGUCCUGGCCACUGUUGUUUCAAUUGCUGACAAUAUUCAUUACUCCUUAAAUUCUGCACAGUACCUAAAGGCUAAAUUGAGGUUCUCCUCCAACAGCUUGAAUAUAAAAUAGUAAGAGAGAAAGGAUAUAGUUAAUUGAUACACAUACAUAUGUACACAUAACAUGUGCAAAGAGAAAAUAUGCAAAGCUACAACCGUCCUCUUUGUAGAAACUGCUCGCAAGCACAUAGAUAGUAUUUGUGACUUCCUUCUUCCACUACCCUUUCCAUAUUUUCUUUGCCCUCAACUAGAACCUCAGUUGGGCGGGUUCUUUAUCUGACAGAGUAACCCAAGUGGUCAUUCCUUAAGAGUUUGUGUCCUCACCAGGCUCAGUCACUUGCACCUGUAAUCCCAGCACUUUGGGAGGCCGAAGCUGGCGGAUCACUUGAAGCCAGGAGUUUGAGACCAGCCUUGCUAACAUGGUCACACCUCGUCUCUACUAAAAGUACAAAAAUUAGCCUGGUGUCAUGGCAUACAACUAUAGUCCCAGCUACUCAGGAGGCUGAAGCAAAAGAAUGGCUUGAACCCAGGAGGGGAAGGUUGCAGUGAGCCAAGAUUGUACCACUGCACUUCAGCCUGGGUGACAGAGUGAGACUGUCUCAAAAAAAAAAAAAAAAAAAAAAAAAAAAAGAGUCUGUGUCCUUAAUGGUCCUUUCUUGGAUGCUGUAGUUUUCAGGAACCUUUAUUCUGGGACACAGAGGAAAUUAGAAGGGCCCCCAGAGAAUCCCCUAAGUUCUAGGCAAAGCCUUCUUUCCCCCAAAUUGUAUAGCAACCAACAAAUUUCCCUUUGGUAAUUUGGCUCAAUCACUGUAAUCAGCACAGUAACCUCUUUUUCUUCUUGUUGAUUUAAGGGCAUCAGAAGCCCCAAAUAGAGAAGCGGCAGUCUCGUUUCCAAUGCAAUGGAAAAUGCGAGUGGGGAAGAGCAAGCCCUUAGGAGGCAGCCAGGUAGGCUGGGCCCACAUAUCUGGGGCUUUAGGCACAUGUGGCUAAUCUGUGCUAGACAGGCCCAACACUGCCUCAGACCAACCUGGGUUCAAAUUAUGGUUGUACCAAGGACUAACAAUCUCCCCACUGAGACCCUUCUCUGUGUCAGGACAGUGUUGGGGGCUCUAACACAAGUCACUGCAUUUAAUCCUAAAACAAUCCUGUAGGCAGAUGCUAUUGUUCUCGUGUGCAGAUGGGAAAACUGAUACUCAGCACAACAAGCCAACUCGCCCAGAACCACCCUCCAUGAAGUGGCAGAGAUGGGAUUACGUUCUGGCUGUCUGACCUAGAAGUCAGAGGUGCUUUGACAAUAGACCUGGGUGUAGCCAUCUAACUGCUCUAAACUUUGCUUUCCCCAUCUGUAAAAUGGGAGUUCAUUCAGCAGAUAUUUUUUGGAGCAGUCACAGAGCUAUGAAUAGGCACAGAGCUUUGGGCAUUAUAAUCCCUGCUCCACAUGGUUUGUGUGUGGAUUAAAUAAAAUGAAUUGAUAACUUUACUAUCCCUGUAUCAGACACAAACUGUAUUUACCUUCCCUUUUGCAUUUUAUAACAUUUUUUCCUCUACGUCAGGAUGUGCCAUAUUCUACAUGAGAAGUUGCCAGUUUUUCCCCUUAGAGUAAAAGUAGUUUGAGAUUUUCUGUGAAAGAUGCUGGUUUGAUGAGUGUAUGAGACAAUGUAGAUUUUGUCUUCUGCUCUGAUGGUUAGUAAGUUGGAAUAGCGAGGGCAUCUGAAACUCACUUUCUGGGGUCCAUCUGCCCUCCCACACAGGAUUUCCCACUUGGUUUAGCGGGGCCUGUUGAGCCUGCUCCGUCAUGGAUGCAUUCGCAGAACAGUUCUGCAGUUGAUGUGCUGAUAAUGUGGUUUUAACACAUUUAUAAACAUUUGGCUAUCUCCUACAGUCACUAUCUUUUAGAGGAAAAUAAAUUGUCUUCCUGAUCUGACAAGCUUGCUGCUGCCUGAGGCUGGAGUGUGUUGCGGCAGGGAUGGACACUCCCAGGAGCUGGGAGAGGCUUGCCUUCACUUCCUAGGGCUGCGGUAACAAAUUCACACAAACUGGGGGCUGCAAACAACAGGCAUGCUUUGUCUCACAGUUCUGGAGGCUAACGUCUGAAAUCGAUGUGUGGGCAGGCUUGGUUCCCUCUGGUGGCUAUGAGGUCUCGCUCACCUUCUGGGGGCUGCCUGCAAUCCUUGGUGUCCCUUGGAUUCAAGAGGCAUCCUUCCCGUCUUUGCCCCACCCUCACAGCACCAUCUUCUCUAUGUGUGUCUUCUUUUCUGUCUCUUCUAUGCACACUUAUCAUUUGAUUUAGGGGCCCCUCUAAGCUCUAAGCCAGGAAAAUCUCACCUUGAAAUCUUCAUUUUAAUUAUAUCUGCAAAGACCCUUCUUCCAAAUAAGAUUGGAUAUUGAGGUUCUCUUUUGGGAAACCACUAUUCAAUCUAGGUACCCUGUGUUCCUGUUCGAGCUGGGUCAAUACUUUGCUGCCUGGCCUUGAGCAAGUCACUUUGCCUUUCUGGGUCUCAGUUUCUCUUAGAUCGUCUCCUACAUUGCUUACAGGUAGAAUGUGCCAAUAGAGUGAGGGGUCCCAGGAAAUGGUUCAGACCAAGCUUCCUUCAUUCAACAGUGAUGCUCCUGCUCUGUACUAGCCUCAGUGCUGUAUCCCAGGGAGGCAGACGACCCCGAGCCUUGUACCUCCAGCCACUAAGAACAAAGUUUAGAGGGAAAGCAGACCUUGGAGUAGCUGAUUACAACAGACUAGAAUGGGUGCUUUGAAAGGUCAGCGCCUUGCUUCAUUCACACCGUGAAAGUCCUGGCACCAUUUGUAAUUGAUGAAUCAUUUUAAAUGGACAUAUUUUGCAGCCAGGGAGAGCUGUGAGAGGACACAACCUGAGUGUUUGUUGGAGCACAGAGGAAAGGCAACUGGCCUUGUCUUGGAGGAUCCAGAUGGGUUCCUAGCAGAGAUAGGGUCCAAACAGAGGCCUGAAGGACAAGUGAGUGUGAGAUGAGGGAGGGGACAGGGUGCUGCUCCAGGUACAACCAUAGCACGUGCAUGGGGCAGAGGUGAGAGAGAGCCUGUUCCCCGCCAGGAUGGAUAAGUGGCUUAUAAUGACAGUAUAACUGCCCAAGGUCACACACCUCUUAAGAGGUAGAGCUAAGACUUGACUCCAAGAAGUCAGAUUCUAGAGCCAAAGUAUGAUAACAUGUUGAGGAAAUGUGGUGUCAUCCAUCGGAAACCAUUUAAUAAAUUCUAUUCAGAUUGGCUUAAAUGCUCAUAUCAACUAUAUACUAAUUAACUGAAAUUUAUUUUAGUGCAUUUAAUUGAAGUAAUUUUUGAG
rnacentral:lncRNA from 10 species